AAAAAAAAAAAAAGAUUUAAAAAAAGUUAGGAUAGGUUGAGGUUUUUUGUGAGUGUGUGUGCAAGCAUAAGAGAGAUGAAGUCUGCACAAAUUUUAUUGCUUUCCGACGUGUAUAAAACAAAUGCCAUGCUUUUAUUUUGUUCAACACAAUUUUGUACUUAAUUGAGCAUGUGUGCUAAAGUGUGUGUGCAUGAACGGACAGAAGUAGUUUGUGUUUGUGCUUUUUUUUUGUACAUAGGCUCUUAAAGAGACCGAUAGGACAGUCAAGCAUUGCGUUUUUACCCUCCAGUGUUUCAAAGCAUGAAUGAGGUGCUGUUUGGCCCGUUUGGCUCUGUUCUAAGAGGGCAAUCGGGGUCUCUGGGUUUGUGUUUGAUGUAUAAAUGUAGCUCCGCUGUUGUCUGUACACAAACUACUUACAUUACAACUCUUCCCCUUUCGUUCAUUCUCCGUCCACGAUGUGAAAUGUUGCCUUCUGUCCAGAAAGUAAGUGUGUGUGUGGGUGUGGGUGUGUGGAUUCUGUUGGCUGGUGUUUUGAGACAGUCACAAGGGCACUGUGAUUCUGUAUGUCGGUUGUGUUACUUUCUUUUUUUUGUUGCUGUUGGAAAAGGAUGAAUGAUUUAUUUUUUUAUUGUUCUAUACGAAGUAUUUGAAAUUUGAGUUGGAGCACUUUCUAGGCUGCUACCUUGUAUUUUUUGAAUAAUGUUUUUUUAUUUGUUAGGGUUUUUUUAUUUUAUUUGCCUCUUGAGGACAUUGUAUUAUGAAUGAAUGUAUUCCAAAACAAACUAUGUAUAACAGUACAUCUAACAACAAGGCUUGAGUGUCCCGGAGUGAAAUGGGACACGCCUAACCAUUCGGAAUAUGCCUAUUGUCAGAGGUCAGAUUCUGGGAUUCUGCAUGGCUUGUACCAAGCUGACGGUCUCUGGCUGCUAGUGCUCUUCCAGAACUUUUUCACAGCACCCGGAGAUUCCGUUUGUCUCCCAACAUCUUGAUGGAACUGUUGUUUUGCCGUCUUGUUACUUGCGCUCUUGACACAGGGCCAUUGAGAGCCAAGGAUCUGCAGUGUGUAGCAGUAAUUUGUUUUAAGAUCUAUUCCCCCUCCAAUACAUGACUUUUGGGAUUGAAAUAUGUGAUGUUUUGCAUCAUAAAUGUUUAUUCACCUGAAUCCUCUGAAUAGGAAGAGACUGAGGAUCAGAACAGAGGAGAUUUCGGUACUUGAUCUGUAGAAAAGAAAACAAAUCCUGCUUUAAGCGUAUUUCACUCUAUUCUGACUGGAUUAUAUUUUUGUAAAAAAAAAAAAAAAAUUAAAAAUUAAAGACAAUGACUGAAAACAAGCAUGGAGAAGUGGAUGUCAGCACUAAUUCAAACGCCAUCCUGGAGUCUGAAAAGGAGUGGCAACCAGCUGCAUUUAGUGCUACACACAGAGAGUGAGACUGAGGGAAUAUGUGCGGAUCCAUUUCAUCCUCGCACCAAAGGGAUGGAUUUUUCUGCAUCCUUUGAGCUGCGGUUCCCACUGCUCUGCAACACUAUCAAAUGAAGGAAAAUCCUACAGCAUUUGGAAAAAAAGUGGUCAUUUUGAAUGUUUGAUUAAAAAAAAAAACCUUUAUGCCUUAGAAGAUUACUGUGUGGAGAAAGUGCAGAUUCUCACGUCUAUCAAUCAUAUUUCUUCAAAAACUUCCUUCCCUGCUAAGGGUUGAGGAGUCUAGAUGUGAUGAAUGUUUGGAGAGGAGACAAACUGAUGCAAGCUCUCCUCGUUUCUUCGCGCACUUCACUUGAACUAAAUCUCAAGGACACAGACUUGUCAUGAUUGCCUGUCAAUACAAUGAAAAAAUGAGAGUAUUACAGCAAUUGGUGACACUAUGGAGUUCAUGGAUGCUUGUGAAACAGCUGAGCUGCAGUGAACCAGGAUGGACGUAACCUAGAUCUCUCUGCUGGGACCAUCACACCCACCAGUACGCGUCUUCUGAUUUCGUCGAACUGGAUUAAGCAAGAGACCACAACUCUUUUCUUUCUUUCUCUCUGCAUCUCUCUUUUGUCCUGACAGCAUAGAAUGGGACCCACAGACAGACUAGGUGUGUGCAUGCAUGUGGAGAGACUGUGUGUGUCUGUACAAAGACACUCGUACAUUCUUCCAUCUCGCUCGUGGGCGAGGUGGGGACUGGAUGCCCUGUACAUAAUGUAAAUUAUUUUGGUCCCAGUUUGUUGAGUUCUGUCCAUCGUAGGCCAUCAUUUUGGGUGUUUCACAUGCCUUAAUUGUACAAAAUAGAACUGCCCUGGUCAACAUUAAUGUAACACUCAUUAGAAAAAAACAGCACAGGCUAUAUCUACACCAUUCAGUCAUCGAAAGGAAUCUGAGCCUGGCUGAGGAUGUUUUCCCCUACCUUGACUUUACUCAUCAUACAAGACUGUGGGAUGUUUCCACAGUGUUUUCUAUGUAUUGUUGGUAUGUUGAUGUUCAAGUGAAUAACUGCAAUUAUUGACAUGUACAGAUAAAGGUUAAUGAACAUUGGUAUAUGCGGAAAUCUAGUAGUUUGCCUUCUAUCAGUUUGGCAUUUAAUUUUUU